rnacentral:rRNA from 1 species
GACGAACGCUGGCGGCGUGCCUAAUACAUGCAAGUCGAGCGCGGGAAGCUUGCGGAAUCCUUCGGGAGGAAGUGAGCGGACCGAGCGGCGGACGGGUGAGUAACACGUGGGCAACCUGCCCGUAAGACGGGGAUAACCCCGGGAAACCGGGGCUAAUACCGGAUAGGUGACCUUUCUGCAUGGAGGGGUCAUGAAAGGCGGCGGAAGCCGUCGCUUACGGAGGGGCCCGCGGCGCAUUAGCUAGUUGGUGAGGGAAGGGCUCACCAAGGCGACGAUGCGUAGCCGGCCUGAGAGGGUGAACGGCCACACUGGGACUGAGACACGGCCCAGACUCCUACGGGAGGCAGCAGUAGGGAAUCUUCCGCAAUGGACGGAAGUCUGACGGAGCAACGCCGCGUGAGUGAGGAAGGCCUUCGGGUCGUAAAGCUCUGUUGUUCGUGAAGAAGGGGUUGGCCAGGAAAUGGGCCGACAUUGACGGUAGCGAACCAGAAAGCCCCGGCUAACUACGUGCCAGCAGCCGCGGUAACACGUAGGGGGCAAGCGUUGUCCGGAAUGAUUGGGCGUAAAGGGCGCGCAGGCGGCCUCUUAAGUCUGAUGUGAAAGCCCACGGCUCAACCGUGGAGGGACAUUGGAAACUGGGGGGCUUGAGUGCAGGAGAGGGGAGUGGAAUUCCACGUGUAGCGGUGAAAUGCGUAGAGAUGUGGAGGAACACCAGUGGCGAAGGCGGCUCUCUGGCCUGUGACUGACGCUGAGGCGCGAAAGCGUGGGGAGCGAACAGGAUUAGAUCCCCU